rnacentral:rRNA from 1 species
UAAGCCUACGGGACGCAGCAGUGGGGAAUAUUGGGCAAUGGACGGAAGUCUGACCCAGCAACGCCGCGUGAAGGAAGAAGGCUUUCGGGUUGUAAACUUCUUUUAAGGGGGAAGAGCAGAAGACGGUACCCCUUGAAUAAGCCACGGCUAACUACGUGCCAGCAGCCGCGGUAAUACGUAGGUGGAAAGCGUUGUCCGGAUUUACUGGGUGUAAAGGGCGUGCAGCCGGGCCG